GAUGAAGAACGCAGCGAAAUGCGAUAAGUAAUGUGAAUUGCAGAAUUCAGUGAAUCAUCGAAUCUUUGAACGCACCUUGCGCUCUUUGGUAUUCCGAAGAGCAUGCCUGUUUGAGUGUCAUGAAAAUAUCAACCUUGACUUGGGUUUUGUGCUCUAGUCUCGGCUUGGAAUUGGGUGCUUGCCGCUUUUACGAGCGGCUCACCUUAAAUGUAUUAGCUGGAUCUGUCUUUGAGACUUGGUUUGACUUGGCGUAAUAAGUAUUUCGCUAAGGACAUUCUUCGGAGUGGCCUCGUUUCUAGGACGCUUGUCCGCUUUCCAAUACAAGUUCCACCUCGUGGACAUGACUUUUUAUUAUCUGGCCUCAAAUCAGGUAGGACUACCCGCUGAACUUAAGCAUAUCAAAAGCGGAGGA
rnacentral:misc_RNA from 1 species